rnacentral:rRNA from 1 species
CCUACGGGAGGCAGCAGUAGGGAAUAUUGGACAAUGGGUGCGAGCCUGAUCCAGCCAUGCCGCGUGCAGGAAGAAGGCCUUCUGGGUUGUAAACUGCUUUUGCCGGGGGAUAAAAGACCCAUGCGUGGGGAAUUGAAGGUACCCGGUGAAUAAGCCACGGCUAACUACGUGCCAGCAGCCGCGGUAAUACGUAGGUGGCGAGCGUUGUCCGGAUUUAUUGGGUUUAAAGGGUGCGUAGGCGGCCCCGUAAGUCAGUGGUGAAAUACGGGCAGCUCAACUGUCGAGGUGCCAUUGAUACUGCGGGGCUUGAGUACAGUCGAGGUAGGCGGAAUUGACGGUGUAGCGGUGAAAUGCUUAGAUAUCGUCAAGAACACCGAUAGCGAAGGCAGCUUGCUAGGCUGUAACUGACGCUGAGGCACGAAAGUGCGGGGAUCAAACAGGAUUAGAUACCCUGGUAGUCCGCACAGUAAACGAUGGUCACUCGGUNUUGGCGGUACACGGCAGCGCUAGCGAAGCGUUAAGUGACCCACGUGGGGAGUACGCCCGCGAAGGGUGAACGUCGAAGAUGACGNGNGAGAGNGCGACGACGACGACGAGGAGAGG